GUACACAAAAAUGCACAUGCUGUGAGCUCGAUGAGUAGGGCGGGACACGUGGUAUCCUGUCUGAAUAUGGGGGGACCAUCCUCCAAGGCUAAAUACUCCUGACUGACCGAUAGUGAACCAGUACCGUGAGGGAAAGGCGAAAAGAACCCCGGCGAGGGGAGUGAAAAAGAACCUGAAACCGUGUACGUACAAGCAGUGGGAGCACGCUUAGGCGUGUGACUGCGUACCUUUUGUAUAAUGGGUCAGCGACUUAUAUUCUGUAGCAAGGUUAACCGAAUAGGGGAGCCGAAGGGAAACCGAGUCUUAACUGGGCGUUAAGUUGCAGGGUAUAGACCCGAAACCCGGUGAUCUAGCCAUGGGCAGGUUGAAGGUUGGGUAACACUAACUGGAGGACCGAACCGACUAAUGUUGAAAAAUUAGCGGAUGACUUGUGGCUGGGGGUGAAAGGCCAAUCAAACCGGGAGAUAGCUGGUUCUCCCCGAAAGCUAUUUAGGUAGCGCCUCGUGAAUUCAUCUCCGGGGGUAGAGCACUGUUUCGGCAAGGGGGUCAUCCCGACUUACCAACCCGAUGCAAACUGCGAAUACCGGAGAAUGUUAUCACGGGAGACACACGGCGGGUGCUAACGUCCGUCGUGAAGAGGGAAACAACCCAGACCGCCAGCUAAGGUCCCAAAGUCAUGGUUAAGUGGGAAACGAUGUGGGAAGGCCCAGACAGCCAGGAUGUUGGCUUAGAAGCAGCCAUCAUUUAAAGAAAGCGUAAUAGCUCACUGGUCGAGUCGGCCUGCGCGGAAGAUGUAACGGGGCUAAACCAUGCACCGAAGCUGCGGCAGCGACGCUUAUGCGUUGUUGGGUA
rnacentral:rRNA from 1 species